AGCCGCAUGCGAAGAUCCAUUAUCGCAUGCGGCUGGUUAAGACAGCCGCAUGCGAUAAUGGAUCUUCGCAUGCGGCU
rnacentral:pre_miRNA from 17 species